GAUGAAGAACGCAGCGAAAUGCGAUAACUAAUGUGAAUUGCAGAAUUCCGUGAAUCAUCGAGUCUUUGAACGCACAUUGCGCCCCCUGGUAUUCCGGGGGGCAUGCCUGUCCGAGCGUCAUUGCUGCCCAUCAAGCACGGCUUGUGUGUUGGGUCCUCGUCCCCCCCGGGAGACGUGCCCGAAAGGCAGCGGCGGCACCGCGUCCGGUCCUCGAGCGUAUGGGGCUUUGUCACCCGCUCUGCAGGCCCGGCCGGCGCUGGCCGACGCGAAAGCAACCAUUUUUUCUCCAGGUUGACCUCGGAUCAGGUAGGGAUACCCGCUGAACUUAAGCAUAUCAAUAAGCGGAGGA
rnacentral:misc_RNA from 1 species